AAAAUAUCAGCCAAUUGAUCUGCAGAGUUGACAAAGCUUGUUUUGAUACACCCUGACACAAUCUUCUCUCUAAUAAAGUGACAAUCAACCUCAAUGUGUUUGGUUCUCUCAUGAUAAACUGGAUUUGAGGCGAUGUGUAGAGCAGCUUGGUUGUCACAUAUCAAUGCAAUUUGAGCAACCUUGCCACAUUGCAACUCUUGUAGUAAGUGCUUCAACCACAUAAGCUCACACGUGGCAAAGGCCAUGGCUCGGUAUUCAGCUUCAGCACUGGACCUGGCAACAACAUCUUGCUUCUUACUUUUUCAAGAUAUGAGAUUACCACCAAUGAGUACACAAUAACCCGAAGUAGAGCGCCGGUCAAACGGACAACCAACCCAAUCUGCUUUAGAAUACCCAACAACCUGAGCAUGUCCUCUAUCUUCAUAUAGUAAACCUUGUCCUGGUGCUCUCUUGAUAUACCUUAGAACCCGAACAACAGAUCGGAAGACCACA